CCGAGUUUGUUGCCCUUGGUUUGUGGAAUGUAAAGUCAAGUUAAAGUUUUCUCCAGCGUUGCCUCAUUCCUCUUCUGUGUAUUGUGACAUUUUGUUUGUUUUUUGUUUUGUGUUUUGCCAUGUUGAUACUGUUUGGCGCAGGCCUUAAUUCUUUUGCUGCUGUUGUUUUUAGCUGAGUUUUAAAUUAACUUAGUUUUGUCCUGCAAAUGUGCCCAAGUCUAAAUUGAGCAUACCAUUGCUAACACAGGCAAUUGUCAUGGGGUGACGAGUGACAGGCGGAACCACUUCUCGUCGAGGAUGUUUCCUGGUCGGAGUAUUUCCGGUGUGACACCUGGCCAGUUCCGGUUGCCCCAUGAGCUAUGCUCAGACCCCCGGAUCAAAUGAAGAAACGAGUAACAGGUGUGCAAUGACAGGGCGGUGAUUGGGACAGGUAACAGGAAUGCGGCUUAUAAAAGGACUUUGGGGUGAAGGAAAGAGGAGGGGUUGCGGGAGAGGCGAGAGGUCGGGAAGAGAGGAAGCGUGACGGAAACGGAUUUUCUACAGGCUGUGGAUAGGAGAGCUGUGAGUUCUGCAUCCCCUGCUUUCCUGACUGCCUGGAAGUGGAGCCAUACCUGCAUACUUACAUUGUCCGGCCUGUAGCUGCCCUGUCAACAAUAGGAGCCACACUUGUAUACUCCCCAUUUUCUGGCCUGGAGCCAACUGUUGAACAUGUGAAGUCAUCCCUCCCUGGCUGUUCUGGUCUUCCUGGAAAAGGAACCAUACCCGCAUACCCACCUUGUUCGGUCUGGAGCUGCUCUGUUAACGACGUGAGUCAUCUCUCCUUUGCUUUCCCUGAACUGUUUGGAAGAGGAACUAUUACCUGUAUACCCACCAUUAUUUGGCCUGGAGCCAGUCUGUUGAAAUUGAGAGACACCUCCCCCACCCCUCUGUUCCUUGGCCUGCUUGAUGAAGAGCUACCCCCUGCCUGCCUAACAUUGUCCGGCUUGGAGCCGACCCAGUAAUAAAGAGGACUUGUGUUCACCAUCGUACAGUUAAAAAAGGGGAUCUUCCAGUUAUAUACUUACCCCGUGGUGUAUACCUCGAUUGGAGAAAAGUACCAGGUUUUUGAGGAGAAGAGGUCGACGAGUCAUGUUAUUUAGGAAAUUACUUUUAAUUCAAGACAAACUUUGUACCUUCUAGACUUGUCUUGUCUCUGGUGUAGUCUGAUAGCUCCAAGGUGGUGCAGGGUAUAGGGGCAGGGUGUAAGGUUCCGGUCAGCCCCGGCCUGUGACACAAUUUUAAGAGUGUGGAACAAUUUUCCCAAUUGCUUUGAUUAGAAAAGAUUUGUUACAGGCAUGAUUAGAAACCCACGAAUCUACACACACACCCAGCAACCAAAGGGUUAGAAUCAAUAAAUCAGUGUCACAGUGAAUUAAAGAAGUCCCACAGUUAUGUUCCCAUAUUCUGCAUCAAAACAGUGAAUGAGACACCUUGUAAACCCAGCAAAGUUUUUCUUUUUGAUGACUGUUGUCAUGUCGACCGCAUGAGGUAUGUUGAAAAUGUAGACAAUUUAUUUUUCUAUUCAAAAUACUGACUUAACCUGUUGGGAAUGUAAACAGACGGACGACUGUUUUGGGCAGACAGAUAUUUUCUUUGAUCAUUUUCUGUGCAGUGCUGGACAUUCCAGACACUAAAAACAAUCACAGACAGACUUGUUUGGAAUUUCAGAAUGGAAAACAUGAAUAACAUUUAAGGGGAAUCACAGGGUGUAUAGCCUGGAUUGUGUAUGCAGUUGCAGGAAUUUGACAAAGAGCGGUCAUUGUGCAUGUGACAACAAUAUCAUAAAUUCUCCACAAAUGUGACUUGUAAUGGGAGGGUUGCAAGAAAAAAGCC